UUGAACGCUGGCGGCAGGCCUAACACAUGCAAGUCGAACGGUAACAGGAAGAAGCUUGCUCCUUUGCUGACGAGUGGCGGACGGGUGAGUAAUGUCUGGGAAACUGCCUGAUGGAGGGGGAUAACUACUGGAAACGGUAGCUAAUACCGCAUAACGUCGCAAGACCAAAGAGGGGGACCUUCGGGCCUCUUGCCAUCGGAUGUGCCCAGAUGGGAUUAGCUAGUAGGUGGGGUAACGGCUCACCUAGGCGACGAUCCCUAGCUGGUCUGAGAGGAUGACCAGCCACACUGGAACUGAGACACGGUCCAGACUCCUACGGGAGGCAGCAGUGGGGAAUAUUGCACAAUGGGCGCAAGCCUGAUGCAGCCAUGCCGCGUGUAUGAAGAAGGCCUUCGGGUUGUAAAGUACUUUCAGCGGGGAGGAAGGGAGUAAAGUUAAUACCUUUGCUCAUUGACGUUACCCGCAGAAGAAGCACCGGCUAACUCCGUG
rnacentral:rRNA from 1 species